GGAAGCUGUGUCCUUGGUGUCCCCAUUUGA
rnacentral:piRNA from 1 species